rnacentral:ncRNA from 1 species
ACUUUAAAUUGGUAAGAAGCCCGACUCGCUCGUUUGGAGCCGGGCAUGGAAUGCGAGUGCCAAGUGGGCCACUCUUGGUAAGCAGGACUGGCGAUGCGGGAUGAACCGAACGCCGGGUUAAGGCGCCCGACGCGACGCUCAUCAGAGCCCACAAAAGGUGUUGGUUGAUAUAGACAGCAGGACGGUGGCCAUGGAAGUCGGAAACCGCUAAGGAGUGUGUAACAACUCACCUGCCGAAUCAAUCAGCCCUGAAAAUGGAUGGCGCUGGAGCGUCGGGCCUAUACCCGGCCGUCGCGGCGGUACGAGCAUCGAGUUGGUGCGCUAGGCCGCGACGAGUAGGAGGGCCGCGGCGGCGGGCGUAGAAGCCUAGGGUGUCAUCCUUGCGCAGGGGCCAUGCUAAUCUU